rnacentral:sRNA from 1 species
UCUUACUGGUACUCUACUUUUAAAGUAUUGAGAGGCAGGGUGACUAUUUGAUCCUCUCCCUAACUCCAAGUGUCCUAGCUGGGAGAGAGGCUUUGCUGUAUGAUGUGCUAGUUUGAUCAGGCUGUUGUGACAAAAGACACAACAAUCCAAGAGGCUCACCAGCAACUAAAGCUUUAAUAAGUUUCUUUGGCGGGAAGUCCAAGACGAAGGCGCCAGCAAAUUUGGUGUCUACCGACAGCCUGCUUCCUGUUUCAUUGGUCUCAGGAUCCAUACCCAGCAUUUUGUCCCCUGCACUCUGUGCUACAGAGCCAAGGUCCACAUUGCCUGAUACAAGCGGAGUCAAUGCCGGCUGCUGCCACAACAUUCACUGUAGUGAUAUUCUCAGUGUCUUAAGACGGAGCUUCAUUCCUUAAUUUGAAACGUUCCAAGGCAUGGUCGGGUCCCUUUAAUGUGCCAUACAUGUGCGCUAUGGGCAGUUAGCAGAUAAAAAUGGACAAAGCACAAUUAUCUCCAGUGCGGAGAGAGAACAGAACUUUUCAGAGGUUUAAUGACAGCUGGAGCCAGAUAUGUGCCUGCAGACCUUUCCCCCUUUGGCUUCUCAAAGUACCAAGCACUUUAAAGUUAAUGGCACAGUUGCGGAUCAAAGGAAGACAUUUGUCAAGACUCACCAAGAAAGCGCUCCGUACCAUCAACAAGAGCAGAGCUGAUGUUGGGGUCUGGGCUUACCACUUUUCUGGUUAGAACUUAAAUCCUGUACUUGGGCAAGUACUUCACCACGUGGCUUAUCUCCCCCCUCCCCAAAAACUGUUGUUUUGAGACAGGCUUUCCCUAACUAUCCUUAUAGGCCCUUGACCUUAUUCCAGAGUCCACCAGGCCUUGCAGUACAACUCUCCUGCCUCUGCCUCCUGAGAAGCUAGAACUGCAGGUUUACGUCUCCAGAUCUGGCUCAAACUGGGGCUUCUGAGUCACAUGACAGGCUGUUCCAGGGUCUCAGGCUUAAGCUUCAGCAUGGCAUGAAUUCUGUGCCCACUGUCUGACCUCACACACAUUUGUCUUCGUCGCUCACUUGGUUAAAACCACAGGUUCCUCCUGAGUUGCCUCACCCUCAGGCUGCUCAGACAGGACAGGCCACUGCUCCCCAACUGGGCCUGCAGGAAACAAGAGAUUCAUUCCACAUGAAGGAAACCUUUGGGGCAUUUAGACAACAGUAAGCCAGGAUUCACUACUUAGUAAUUGUGGCUCUGGCCAUGACACAGGGCUUCUGUGAAAUGUGGUUUCCUUAAUUCUCACAUGUGAGCAAUGACAUUUCCCUUCUAGCAUCACGUAAACUUAAGGACAAUGGAUGGAAGAAUUCCUAGAACGGAGCCUGGCACACACAUGGGAACUAAUAACAGAUCCUUGCUAUUGACCUUUAUUUCCUGGGUUUACUUAGGUGUAAUUGAGAGAAAUUGCACAUGGUAAAGGUGCUGUUUUUUUGUGUGUAAACAUCAUAUCACAAUCACCACAGUCGAGCUAAUGAACACAUCCAUCAUCAGCUUAGAGGUUAACUUUUAAACGGCUGAUGCGGGCUGGGGAGAUGGCUCAGCUGGAGCGCAUGCUUCUGUGUAAGCUUGGACACCUGCGUUCAGUGCCCAGAGGUCCAUGCCGGAAGGGGAGAACUGGCUUUGAGAGUUGUCCUCUGAGUUCCACACAUGCAUCAUGGCAUGUGCCUGCUUCUCCCUCACACACAUACCAGGGCCAUUUGCAUGAUUCCGUUUCAGAGCAAUGGCAAAUGGAAAGUGACAACUGGACUGAGGUCUGUGGUCCUGUGGAACAGGGCAGGAAGGCUCUGUGUUCGAUUGAGUGGAUUCUAUUGUAUGUGUAGUGGCUGACCCUAGUGAAUUAUUAAGCGAAAGAGAAACACUCUAGGAGAGCUCAUUACUAAAAACCAUAAAAGAAUUAGAGGCUGAGUGUGUUACCACAUCACCUUCCUUGUGUAUGCCUGUUGCUGUGUCUGAAUGGCAUCUUUUUAUAAAGAUGUCAGUCAGUCCGACUGUGUGAGGGCCCCGCUCCAGGAGCUCAUCCGAACAUACUAACCUCUGCUUGUAAAAAAAAAAAAAAAAA